rnacentral:rRNA from 1 species
GACGAACGCUGGCGGCGUGCUUAACACAUGCAAGUCGAACGAUGAUGCUGGAGCUUGCUCCAGUUGAUUAGUGGCGAACGGGUGAGUAACACGUGAGCAAUCUGCCCUUGACUCUGGGAUAACUGCGGGAAACUGUAGCUAAUACCGGAUACUUUCACCGGAAGGCAUCUUCUGGUGAUGAAAGAAUUUCGGUCAGGGAUGAGCUCGCGGCCUAUCAGCUUGUUGGUGAGGUAACGGCUCACCAAGGCGACGACGGGUAACCGGCCUGAGAGGGUGACCGGUCACACUGGGACUUCGACACGGCCCAGACUCCUACGGGAGGCAGCAGUGGGGAAUAUUGCACAAUGGGCGCAAGCCUGAUGCAGCAACGCCGCGUGAGGGAUGAAGGCCUUCGGGUUGUAAACCUCUUUUAGCAGGGAAGAAGCGAAAGUGACGGUACCUGCAGAAAAAGCACCGGCUAACUACGUGCCAGCCGCCGCAGUAA